GGCCUAGUGGCGUAACGGAUAAGGCGUCUGAUUUUGGAUCAGAAGAUUAAAGGUUCGAGUCCUACCAGGGUCG